rnacentral:lncRNA from 1 species
CCGCUUCUGAAAAUAACUGACACAUUUGCAUCCUAUUGGCUAUUUAAAUAUAAAAUGACCAAAAAUAGUAUCUAUGAUGAUAGGAGUCCCUAAAUAUUUGCAUAAAUACCCAUCACUCCUUGUAAAAUUGUAACUGAGGCUGCGAAAAGGAAGCACAUAAAUCGACGCCAUUUUUCAACAGAUUAAGGUUUCUGAGCUCACGAAAUCCUACUAUUAUUACUUUUAAUGGUUAGUAGAAAGAUAUCAACAUUAUCCAUAACAUAAUUCAUUGAUCAGAUCGGGUUAUGGCUAUAUGUUUGCCUCUUUUAGGAUGCUGAAAUCCAUUAAAUUCCCCCAGACCACACGAAAUAAACGCCCCUUUCUCAGCCCGAGACUUCAAUUUUGAUUAAAACUUGAAUUUUGGCAUGUCAAUGUUAGCAUUUAUAAUUUUAAUUAAAUUAUUACGGUUGUGUUAAGCAUUUGUGCUGAU